rnacentral:rRNA from 1 species
GAUGAACGCUGGCGGCGUGCCUAAUACAUGCAAGUCGAGCGAACAGACGAGGAGCUUGCUCCUCUGGCGUUAGCGGCGGACGGGUGAGUAACACGUGGAUAACCUACCUAUAAGACUGGGAUAACUUCGGGAAACCGGAGCUAAUACCGGAUAAUAUAUCGAACCGCAUGGUUCAAUAGUGAAAGACGGUUUUGCUGUCACUUAUAGAUGGAUCCGCGCCGCAUUAGCUAGUUGGUAAGGUAACGGCUUACCAAGGCAACGAUGCGUAGCCGACCUGAGAGGGUGAUCGGCCACACUGGAACUGAGACACGGUCCAGACUCCUACGGGAGGCAGCAGUAGGGAAUCUUCCGCAAUGGGCGAAAGCCUGACGGAGCAACGCCGCGUGAGUGAUGAAGGUCUUCGGAUCGUAAAACUCUGUUAUUAGGGAAGAACAAAUGUGUAAGUAACUAUGCACGUCUUGACGGUACCUAAUCAGAAAGCCACGGCUAACUACGUG